CGACCGGAGCGUUUAGGGUCUGUCUCCGUACCGAACAAGCAAGUAUCCAGCCAUGAAAGGAGCAGGAGCCUUUGUACUGCUCAGCCUGGCACUUCUCUGCCUCUUUGGAGCUGCUGUCGGUGAAGGCACUGCCGAGGCGAAUGCUGUGAUGGCGGAGGACACCGUGAAGAUGCUGGAUAACGUGGCAGACGCUGUUCUGCAGGGGAUCGUUACUGACCUGGACGAGAAGCGGAAACAAGGGGUUUGAGAUGAUGGCUGAGGCCUGGGACGCACCGACUGUGCUUGUGUCCCCUCUCCUUCUCCAAGGCCUCCUGCGGCAUCCCCGCUGCACAAACAGGCAGAUGCCUCCAGGACAACGACAGCCUCUUGCUCUUGAUCCCCCCAAUAAACCAUGAAUGGUGCAGUU